GGGCGAUUAACUCAGUGGGAGAGUGCCAUCCUCACACGGUGGAAGUCCGGGGUUCAAAUCCCCGAUCGCCCA
rnacentral:tRNA from 1 species